AGCGAUUUUCGCAUCGGGCGAACCCUCGACGAGCCACGCCGCGUGAGUGAUGAAGGCUUCGGGUGAAAGCUCUUUCGGCGGGACGAAAAAGACCGUGCAAUAGAACAAGUCGGGCUGGUCCAUUCCAGCAGCCCCGGUAUUAUCCGUGGCCGGGGGCAUAAGAUAAAA
rnacentral:rRNA from 1 species